GUCCUUCCUCCUAGGGAACUAGUCUUUUUCAUCCAUGGGUUCUGGAAGUGAAACCUGCCUUAGAUCAUGAAACUGGUGGGGGUUGGGGAGGUAAGACAGUAAUAUUUCAUGGGAGAUAGCAAACUUCGAACUUCUAAUAAUCCCUCCUUGACUUCCUUUAGUUUUUACAAAUGUGCAAUAUUCUUGUCAGCUGUCUAGCUAUGUUUUCCCUAGGCCUGGCAUGUUCUGUUAAAUAUCAACAUAUCUCUGAGAGUCAGCUCCCCCUGGCUGCUCCUGUGACCUUGUUGCACUGCCCUCUAUUUCGGGUUUCUAUAUUUCCCAUUUUACAAGAGAUGCUUCAGGUCCUGGAUGUCGAUGUCUAAUCUGCCCUCUAUUCUGUAUUAUAAAACAACAUCUUCUACCAUCGGUCCUGGUCCUCAGAGUAGAGUCACAACUGACCUUCACAACAAUAUGCAUCCCUCUCACCUUAUUGCUGUGGACAACAAAAUGUUUUCCAUCCAGACCCUUAAAGAAUGUACUCACAGGUGCUGGGUUUGUAAAGGAUGAUAACAGCAUGUAAAAUCUACUCAAAAGAGAUCCAUUUUAAUUUACAAUAUAACCCCUCUAGCUAUAGAAAAAAAGCCUUCUGCCCUACAAUAAUGUUCUUUAAAAUGUCUUUCUGUCUUCUGGGAGCAAAGCAGCAAGAAACAGAGCUCUACUGGAGAAGUCGGACCGUCUAGUUGCAGGAAAAUGACCUCAAGUCUCCCACUGAUUCUACAUUAUGCUGUAAGAAGAGAAAAACGUUUGGAUGAGGAUGAAGGCAAGGUGGGAGCUAAACACUGGAACACAUGGACACAAAGAUGGCAGCAAGAGACACUGGAAACUACUAGAGAGAGAAGGAAAGGAGCAGGGCAAACAUACUACGCCCAGGACCCGGAAGACGGGAUUAAUGAAACCCCAAACCUCAGCGUCCCAGGUAACCCAGCCUUCCUUUUGCCUUCUUCAUGGGACUGUAAAAAGUUGUUGAUACAAUGGUCCAAAAUGGACGGCCAGAGAUCUAUUACAGCAAAGAGAGUGUUUGGCUGGGAAAGCCUGAAUUUGAGCUUCACAGCUCAUAAAGGUGAGCACAGCCCUUUACUAAAAGUUAGAACACUGCGGGGUGUUUAA
rnacentral:lncRNA from 1 species